rnacentral:rRNA from 1 species
GUGUCAGCAGCCGCGGUAAUACGUAGGGGGCAAGCGUUAUCCGGAUUUACUGGGCGUAAAGCGCGUUAAGGCGGCCGGCAAAGUUGGUUGUGAAAUUUCAGGGCUCAACCCUGAAACUGCGUCCAAUACUGGCUGGCUAGAGUGCGAGAGAGGAAGAUGGAAUUCCCGGUGUAGUAGUGAAAUGCGUAGAUAUCGGGAGGAACACCAGUGGCGAAGGCGGUCUUCUGGCUCGCAACUGACGCUGUAGCGCGAAAGCGUGGGGAGCGAACGGGAUUAGAUACCCCGGUAGUCC